AUUGAACGCUGGCGGUAGGCCUAACACAUGCAAGUCGAGCGGAAGCACAGUGCGUGCUCGUGGUUACAGCGGCGGACGGGCGAGCGAUGGCGGAGAACAUGGCAGUCAGCUGUGUCUAAGGGGCGGACACGGGGAAUAAUACGCCAAUACCGCAGACGGCGUACGGGGGGGAUCAUCGGACCUUCGGCCAUCGGGCGAGUCAAGGUCGGAUUAGCUAGUUGGCGGGGUAAAGGCCUACCAAGGCGACGAUCCGUAACUGGUCUGAGAGGAUGAUCAGUCACACUGGAACUGAGACACGGUCCAGACUCCUACGGGAGGCAGCAGUGGGGAAUAUUGGACAAUGGGCGCAAGCCUGAUCCAGCCAUGCCGCGUGUGUGAAGAAGGUCUUCGGAUUGUAAAGCCCUUUAGGUGGGAAAGAAGAGCAGUAAGUUAAUACCCCGCUGUUCUGACGUUACCAACAGAAUAAGCACCGGCUAACUUCGUG
rnacentral:rRNA from 1 species